rnacentral:rRNA from 1 species
GACAGAGGUGCCGAGCGUUAGGCGGAAUCACUGGGCUUAAAGCGUGUGUAGGCGGAUCGUUAAGUACCUUGUGAAAUCCCACGGCUUAACCGUGGAACGGCUUGGUAUACUGGCGGUCUUGAGCCACUUAGGGGCUACCGGAACAAAUGGUGGAGCGGUGAAAUGCGUAGAUAUCAUUUGGAACGCCAAUGGUGAAAACAGGUAGCUGGGAGUGUGCUGACGCUGAGACACGAAAGCCAGGGGAGCAAACGGG